AACGAACGCUGGCGGCAUGCCUAACACAUGCAAGUCGAACGAGACCUUCGGGUCUAGUGGCGCACGGGUGCGUAACGCGUGGGAACCUGCCCUUAGGUUCGGAAUAACUCCCCGAAAGGGGUGCUAAUACCGGAUAAUGUCUUCGGACCAAAGAUUUAUCGCCUUUGGAUGGGCCCGCGUUUGAUUAGCUAGUUGGUAGGGUAAAAGCCUACCAAGGCGACGAUCCAUAGCUGGUCUGAGAGGAUGAUCAGCCACACUGGGACUGAGACACGGCCCAGACUCCUACGGGAGGCAGCAGUGGGGAAUAUUGGACAAUGGGCGAAAGCCUGAUCCAGCAAUGCCGCGUGAGUGAUGAAGGCCUUAGGGUUGUAAAGCUCUUUUACCCGGGAUGAUAAUGACAGUACCGGGAGAAUAAGCGCCGGCUAACUACGUG
rnacentral:rRNA from 1 species